UGUCUUUUAAGUCAGGCCGCAAAAUGUUUUGGACCAAAUCUUCACCAAGCUGGUUGAUGCAAACUGCUUUAGGCACAAAAAAUGGAGUUCUGUCGUGAAACAGACUGAAAUGAAAUUAAAAACUGUGGUUGAAGAUCAGGACUAAAGUGAGUAUAUGUUCAUAGAACUGCAUUGUAAUCAAUUUGAUUAGGUUGUACUUCUGAAU
rnacentral:lncRNA from 11 species